GCAGUCGAGCGGUGAGGCCUUUCKAGGUACRCGAGCGGCGAGCGGGUGAGUAACACGUGGGUGAUCUGCCCUGCACUUCGGGAUAAGCCUGGGAAACUGGGUCUAAUACCGGAUAUGACCUCCUAUCGCAYGGUGGGUGGUGGAAAGAUUUAUCGKUGCAGGAUGGRCCCGCKGCCUAUCAGCUUGUUGGUGGGGUAAUGGCCUACYAAGGCGACGACCGGUAGCCGACCUGAGAGGGUGACCGGCCACACUGGGACUGAGACACAGCCCAGACUCCUACGGGAGGCAGCARUGGGGAAUAUUGCACAAUGGGCGAAAGCCUGAUGC
rnacentral:rRNA from 1 species